GAAAUGCGAUAAGUAGUGUGAAUUGCAGAAUUCAGUGAAUCAUCGAAUCUUUGAACGCACAUUGCGCCCCUUGGUAUUCCAUGGGGCAUGCCUGUUCGAGCGUCAUUUGUACCCUCAAGCUCUGCUUGGUGUUGGGUGUUUGUCCCCGUCUCCGCGCGUGGACUCGCCCCAAAGUGAUUGGCAGCCGGCGUACUGGUCCCGGAGCGCAGCACAUGUCGCGCAAACGAGUGCCUUGGUACGGCGGCGUCCAUAAGCCCCUCUCUCACGCUCUUGACCUCGGAUCAGGUAGGGAUACCCGCUGAAGUUAAGC
rnacentral:misc_RNA from 1 species